CACGUAGGCACCAAGCGUUGUCCGGAUUUAUUGGGCGUAAAGAGCUCGUAGGCGGUUCAGUAAGUCGGGUGUGAAAACUUUGGGCUUAACCCAAAGCGUGCAUCCGAUACUGCUGUGACUUGAGUUCGGUAGGGGAGUGGGGAAUUCCUAGUGUAGCGGUGAAAUGCGCAGAUAUUAGGAGGAACACCGGUGGCGAAGGCGCCACUCUGGGCCGAAACUGACGCUGAGGAGCGAAAGUGUGGGGAGCGAACAGG
rnacentral:rRNA from 1 species